rnacentral:rRNA from 1 species
UACGGGGGGGGCAAGCGUUGUUCGGAAUUACUGGGCGUAAAGGGUUCGUAGGCGGCCAACUAAGUCGGAUGUGAAAUCCCCAGGCUCAACCUGGGAACUGCAUCCGAUACUGGAUGGCUUGAAUCCGGGAGAGGGAUGCAGAAUUCCAGGUGUAGCGGUGAAAUGCGUAGAUAUCUGGAGGAAUACCGGUGGCGAAGGCGGCAUCCUGGACCGGCAUUGACGCUGAGGAGCGAAAGCUAGGGGAGCAAACGGG